CAGUAGCCGCGGUAAUACAGAGGGUGCGAGCGUUAAUCGGAUUUACUGGGCGUAAAGCGUGCGUAGGAGGCUUCUUAAGUCGGAUGUGAAAUCCCUGAGCUUAACUUAGGAAUUGCAUUCGAUACUGGGAAGCUAGAGUAUGGGAGAGGAUGGUAGAAUUCCAGGUGUAGCGGUGAAAUGCGUAGAGAUCUGGAGGAAUACCGAUGGCGAAGGCAGCCAUCUGGCCUAAUACUGACGCUGAGGUACGAAAGCAUGGGGAGCAAACAGGAUUAGAUACCCGGGUAGUCCCUGUCUCUUAUAA
rnacentral:rRNA from 1 species